AGCGGGAUGGUAGUGGGCUGGGCCCCACUGGGCUGGGACAGCAGGAGGAUAGUCUUGAGGAGGAGCGUGGGGUGCUAGAUGUGUAACUACGUCCCGAACUGGUUCCUGUGUUUUUCUAGGGCAUGUGGACUAGGGAUGGGUACUUGAGUAGAAGCCUGCAACUUGAAGAGUUUGUGCAGGAGUUAGCUGCAGUGUCGGAAAUUAGUGUCCUGUAUGCUCAACAAGGUAUUCGGACUGGGUGUGCACACCACAGCUCUCAGGACUGGAAGGUGGAAAUUUAAUCUACGAAGUUCCCUUAAACUGCAUAAGCUUCGGGACCUCUUGAUUCACUGAUAUUUUCUGGUGGACCCAGGGCUUAUUCAUGUUAAAACCUGUUUUUCAUUACCAUCAGAAUAAACUGACAGCUCCAUUAAUGAAAUGCAGCAUUUGGUAAAUAAUGUUAAGUGGAAUGAUAGAAACCUAUCUUUAACCUACCGGAUAAAUCAUUUCUACCAUUACCAAGAGUAUUGUAGAUUUUUAAAGCCAAAAUUACCGUCUGAUUCAGUUGCUGUAUAUUUGAAAAGGUUUUGGCUUUUGGUUUUGGAGGAGAGGCGUUUGGUCGCUUUAUAGUCAAAAUGUCUAAUUUGACUUAUCGGUUUUGCUGUCCAUUUGUUAUGAAUUGUACUUCCUCAUUUACCUACUUGCCCAAUUGCUGUUAUGUUUGGGUUUCUGACUCUGCAAGGGAAUACGUGAGUUCUUAUUAAAGUUUGUGUUCUUCCUAUUUUAAAGAAGCAUAUGUUUGGGGGAUGGAUAUCUACAUUUAGAAGCUGGAAUUUUAAUACUUUUAAAUAGCAAACAAUAUAAAGUGAAAUACACUUAUUUGUUGACUGUAAGGUUGAAUUUGCCCUAAAUUAACUUAAUCCUGAUGACUAAGCUUAUGAGUGUUGUGCUUAAAGCCCCUUCUUGCUUAAAACGCCCCACUGCAAAUACCAUAUUUUCUUGUUUUUUUUUUUUUUUUGUGGGAGUUUUUUGGUAUUGGCUAAUUAAAGCAGGAGCUUAAGAAACAAGAAUGUUGCUUAAGACAAUAUCUGUAAAUACUGAAGCUAAAAAUAGGUUAUCAAGAACUGAGUUGAUAAACUAAGAUUGGGAGAGGCUCUGACUUCAAUGUAAGAUAAUGUCAGCCUUGAAUAGGAGUUUAUAAUCUCUAUGCUAAUUGAACCUCCAUUUCCAUAACAUAAUAUAAUAACAAACAAUGUUUUUCUCUUGGUUGUACUCUCAUAUGGCCCAGUUUCUUUGUAAUGUAAGAAUAUAUGUUCAGAAUAGGGAUCUCUGAG
rnacentral:lncRNA from 1 species